CAGGCCUAACACAUGCAAGUCGGACGGUAGCACAGAGAGCUUGCUCUCGGGUGACGAGUGGCGGACGGGUGAGUAAUGUCUGGGGAUCUGCCCGAUAGAGGGGGAUAACCACUGGAAACGGUGGCUAAUACCGCAUAACGUCGCAAGACCAAAGAGGGGGACCUUCGGGCCUCUUGCCAUCGGAUGUGCCCAGAUGGGAUUAGCUAGUAGGUGGGGUAACGGCUCACCUAGGCGACGAUCCCUAGCUGGUCUGAGAGGAUGACCAGCCACACUGGAACUGAGACACGGUCCAGACUCCUACGGGAGGCAGCAGUGGGGAAUAUUGCACAAUGGGCGCAAGCCUGAUGCAGCCAUGCCGCGUGUAUGAAGAAGGCCUUCGGGUUGUAAAGUACUUUCAGCGGGGAGGAAGGCGAUGAGGUUA
rnacentral:rRNA from 1 species